UACGGGGGGGGCAAGCGUUGUUCGGAAUUACUGGGCGUAAAGGGCUCGUAGGUGGCCAACUAAGUCAGACGUGAAAUCCCUCGGCUUAACCGGGGAACUGCGUCUGAUACUGGAUGGCUUGAGAUUGGGAGAGGGAUGCGGAAUUCCAGGUGUAGCGGUGAAAUGCGUAGAUAUCUGGAGGAACACCGGUGGCGAAGGCGGCAUCCUGGACCAACACUGACGCUGAGGAGCGAAAGCCAGGGAGCAAAGCGGG
rnacentral:rRNA from 1 species